AUAUCAAUAAGCGGAGGAAAAGAAACCAACAGGGAUUGCCCUAGUAACGGCGAGUGAAGCGGCAACAGCUCAAAUUUGAAAUCUGGCUCUCGGGCCCGAGUUGUAAUUUGUAGAGGAUACUUUUGAUGCGGUGCCUUCCGAGUUCCCUGGAACGGGACGCCAUAGAGGGUGAGAGCCCCGUCUGGUUGGAUGCCAAAUCUCUGUAAAGUUCCUUCAACGAGUCGAGUAGUUUGGGGAUGCUGCUCUAAAUGGGAGGUAUAUGUCUUCUAAAGCUAAAUACCGGCCAGAGACCGAUAGCGCACAAGUAGAGUGAUCGAAAGAUGAAAAGCACUUUGAAAAGAGAGUUAAAAAGUACGUGAAAUUGUUGAAAGGGAAGCGUUUAUGACCAGACUUGGGCUUGGUUAAUCAUCUGGGGUUCUCCCCAGUGCACUUUUCCAGUCCAGGCCAGCAUCAGUUUUCCCCGGGGGAUAAAGGCGGCGGGAAUGUGGCUCUCUUCGGGGAGUGUUAUAGCCCACCGUGUAAUACCCUGGGGGGGACUGAGGUUCGCGCAUCUGCAGGGAUGCUGGCGUAAUGGUCAUCAACG
rnacentral:rRNA from 1 species